ACAAUGGGCGCAAGCCUGAUCCAGCCAUGCCGCGUGUGUGAAGAAGGUCUUCGGAUUGUAAAGCACUUUAAGUUGGGAGGAAGGGUUGUAGAUUAAUACUCUGCAAUUUUGACGUUACCGACAGAAUAAGCACCGGCUAACUCUGUGCCAGCAGCCGCGGUAAUAA
rnacentral:rRNA from 1 species